AUGCAAGUCGAGCGCAGGAAUCGACUGAACCCUUCGGGGGGAAGUCGACGGAAUGAGCGGCGGACGGGUGAGUAACACGUAAAGAACCUGCCCUCAGGUCUGGGAUAACCACGAGAAAUCGGGGCUAAUACCGGAAGGGUCAUCGGACCGCAGGGUCCGAGGAUGAAAGGCGCUUCGGCGUCGCCCGGGGAUGGCUUUGCGGUGCAUUAGCUAGUUGGUGGGGUAAUGGCCCACCAAGGCGACGAUGCAUAGCCCACCUGAGAGGGUGAUCGGCCACACUGGGACUGAGACACGGCCCAGACUCCUACGGGAGGCAGCAGUAGGGAAUCUUCCACAAUGGACGAAAGUCUGAUGGAGCAACGCCCCGUGAACGAUGAAGGCCUUCGGGUCGUAAAGUUCUGUUGUAAGGGAAGAACAAGUGCCGCAGGCAAUGGCGGCACCUUGACGGUACCUUGCGAGAAAGCCACGGCUAACUACGUGCCAGCAGCCGCGGUAAUACGUAGGUGGCAAGCGUUGUCCGGAAUUAUUGGGCGUAAAGCGCGCGCAGGCGGCCUCUUAAGUCUGAUGUGAAAGCCCCCGGCUCAACCGGGGAGGGCCAUUGGAAACUGGGAGGCUUGAGUAUAGGAGAGAAGAGUGGAAUUCCACGUGUAGCGGUGAAAUGCGUAGAGAUGUGGAGGAACACCAGUGGCGAAUGCGACUCUUUGCCCAUAAUUGAAC
rnacentral:rRNA from 1 species